CUUGGGUUCCGGCAGAACCCGCCUUGCGGUAGCCAUGGCAGCAGGCUCCGAGGCGACCACUCCUGUGAUCGUUGCAGCUGGGGCUGGAGGGGAGGAAGGUGAACAUGUCAAACCUUUUAAGCCAGAGAAAGCAAAAGAAAUUAUCAUGUCUUUACAACAACCUGCAAUCUUCUGUAACAUGGUGUUUGAUUGGCCAGCACGACACUGGAAUGCUAAAUACCUUUCACAGGUCCUUCAUGGCAAGCAGAUACGAUUCAGAAUGGGGAUGAAAAGCAUGAGCACAGUUCCUCAGUUUGAAACUACAUGUAAUUACAUAGAAGCUACACUCGAAGAGUUUCUGACCUGGAACUGUGACCAGUCUAGUAUUUCUGGACCAUUUAGAGAUUAUGACCAUUCCAAGUUCUGGGCUUAUGCUGACUAUAAAUAUUUUGUCAGUCUAUUUGAAGACAAGACAGAUAUUUUCCAGGAUGUGAAAUGGUCUGACUUCGGGUUUCCUGGAAGAAAUGGACAGGAAAGUACAUUGUGGAUUGGCUCCUUGGGAGCCCACACACCCUGUCAUCUGGACUCCUAUGGUUGUAACUUGGUAUUCCAGGUACAAGGAAGGAAACGAUGGCAUCUCUUUCCUCCUGAAGAUACUCCUUUCCUUUAUCCAACUAGAAUCCCUUAUGAAGAAUCUAGUGUGUUCAGUAAAAUCAAUGUUGUCAAUCCUGAUUUAAAGCGUUUUCCUCAGUUCCGGAAAGCUCAAAGACAUACGGUUACACUGAGCCCAGGACAGGUCCGGGAAAGGAAAUGGCAAGAGGGAACACAGCUCCUCCUAUUGGUAAAGAGGAGAAUGGACUUUGGAGGAAGACAGUCUACAAGAGUCAUUUUCAUUAAGGUCAGGAGAAAAUGUUCAAGGCAUGGGUACUCGAGCAUCUCUGGAACAUUUAAUCACAGUUAGUAUCUGUUCAAUUAUGAUAGAACUGAACCCAGACACAUAAACACAGGUCGGAAUGCCUCCAGGUGUGGGCCAACGGGCAGAAGGAACCAAGAAUGUUUGCUUUUAAGCAAAAAUGGAUGUUGUUUUCAUAAAUUACUAACUCUGAAACAUUUCCAAAGGUAUUGUACAUAGUGCUGCUUCCCAGUGAGGAAAAUUUCCUUUUCAACAUUGGCACUUGCUGUCUGAUAUUUCAUUAAUAAUUUGAAAGGUUUUCUUAGUCACUUAAGAAGACUUUAUUCUCUCGAUUAUCCCUCUCCCUUGCCUGUCUUCCAUCCAUUGUACCCGUCUCACUCGCUCUUUUCCUGCUUCCUUCACUCAAGUACUAUCAACUCAAACAAUUUCACUUGACUGAGUUGCCUCAACCUGUUAGUCACUCUGCAUUCCCCUCUCCCCACAGCCCCUGACAACAACUAAUCUUUUUCUAUCUCUAGAUUUGCCCAUUCUGGACAUUUCACACAGUGCAAUAUUAUAAUACAGGGCCUUCUGUGUCUGACUUCUUUCACAUAGCAUAAUGUAUUCAAGGGUCAUCCACAUCGUAGAAUGUUACUAGCACUUCAUUUCUUUUUUAUGGCUGAAUAAUAUUCCAUUGUAUGGAUAUACAACAUUUUGUUUAUCUGUUCAUCAGUUGAUGGACAUUUGGGUUGUUUCUGCUUUGUUGGCUGUUAUAAGUAAUGCUACUUUGAACAUUCAUGUACAAGUUUUGUGUGUACAUAUGUUUUCAAUACUCUUGGGUAUACCUAGGAGUAGAAUUGCUGGGUUAUAUGGUAACCCUGUGUUUAAAUUUUUGAGGAGUUGUCAAACUAUUUUCCAUAGCAGCUGUACUAUUUUGCAUUCCCACCAGCAUUGUAUGAGGGUUCCAAUUUCUUUAUAUCUUUCCCAACACUUGUUUUGCUUUUUUAAUCAUUAUUUUUACAGCCAUUCCAGAGAGUGUGAAGUGGUUGCCAAUUCAUUUUCUCUUCUGUGUUUAAUAGCCAAAUUUGAGUGAUUGGUUUUGCCUAUUGUAUCAGUUUUCCUUACAUCCUAUCCAUUCUUUAAUCCACUCAAACCCAGCUCUUUCUGUCACCACUUUACUGAAACUUUACUCUGAUAGGACAUGCAUAACCUACUAAUGACUAUCAAGUGGCCUUUUAUAGUUUCCAGUUUUCCUGAAAGGAUCUCUCUUUCUAUUUCCCAGUCCUGCCUUGUUCAUAGCAAAUACCAGUAGUUUCCUAAUGUGAAGCCCAAAAGCUUCACAUCAUUUCCAUCUACUCUGCUCUUAAUAGGAAAUCUCAUACUGAGUCUGGAUAGAUGCCAUCCUUCUUGACUCUGCCCAUUGCUUUUGUUUAUUAUACCUUCCUAUUUAUAUCUUAACAUUUAAUAAGUGGACCUUUGCAAGUAUCUCCUGUCCUUCUCAGACUCUCUCGAUACCACUAUUUUAACCAUCCCCCUACUUAGAAUUUCUCAACAACUCCUAGUGCCUACCAGAUAAAAUCUAGAUUCUUAUUCUGAAGUCCGCUGUCCCUAAACUAAUUCCCCUACCUUAUCUCCCGUUAUUCCCUCUGUGAUAGUAAGACUGACCUACUUGCUAUCUUCUGUAGUCCUACCUCCCUCAACCUGUACCUCUUAUCCUUCCUGGCAUGUCCUCAUUCUUUCUGUGUCUAAAUUCUCUCCUAGCCCGGGUUCAAAUCACACUUCCUCCAUCCAUGUUGCCCCUGACCUCCCUAGUUCAUGCCUGUUUCACCCACCUCUGAAAUUCUCAAACACCAUUGUCCCCUGAUUUACCACUUCUAUAAUGCCACCUUUCUAUACUUUAUCUUCUCAUUGGCUAGAUUUUGAGCUGUGAGAAAACAGCAGCCACGUCCUAUGUGUUUUACCUAUGCCCUUUCUCAGAAUGCAUGCAACUAUUUUGUGACGGAAAGGAGGAAAAAUUAGAAUCUCAGAAUCAUGUACUAAGAUUUAGGUGCAGACAAAGAAGGCCCAGGAUUAAAGAGAAUAGAGAUGCUGGCAGUAUCCUUUGUAGAACAUGUGAACUUGUC
rnacentral:sRNA from 1 species